rnacentral:rRNA from 1 species
GUGGGGAAUAUUGGACAAUGGGCGCAAGCCUGAUCCAGCCAUGCUGCGUGAGUGAUGAAGGCCUUAGGGUUGUAAAGCUCUUUCGUCAGGGAAGAUAAUGACGGUACCUGAAGAAGAAGCCCCGGCUAACUUCGUGCCAGCAGCCGCGGUAAUACGAAGGGGGCUAGCGUUGCUCGGAAUCACUGGGCGUAAAGCGCACGUAGGCGGCUUUCUAAGUCAGGGGUGAAAUCCUGGAGCUCAACUCCAGAACUGCCUUUGAUACUGGAGAGCUUGAGUUCGGGAGAGGUGAGUGGAACUGCGAGUGUAGAGGUGAAAUUCGUAGAUAUUCGCAAGAACACCAGUGGCGAAGGCGGCUCACUGGCCCGAUACUGACGCUGAGGUGCGAAAGCGUGGGGAGCAAACAGGAUUAGAAACCCGGGUAGUCC